CGCAGCAGCAGCGGCCCGAAGGCGGUGCUCAGGGCACGCACAGCUGGGCCCAGGGCUGGGGCGCGCCGGGCCACCCGGCCCAGGUGCUGGAGCAGGAAGCGCAGUGUGAGCGCGCUGUGCAGCGGCAGCGUCGGGGGCUCCAGCGCUGGCCCCACGGGCCCCGCGGCCUCUGCGGACAGACGGCCAGGGGAAGGCCAUAUGAAGAGAGAGGCAGAGAUUGGGGUGAUGUGGCCACAAGCCAAGGUACACCUGGAACCCCCAGAAGCUGGAAGAAGCAAGGAAAGAUCCUCCCCUAAAGCCUCUGGACAGAGCACAGCCCUGCCCACACCUUGAUCCUGGACUUCUGGUCUCCGGAACCAUGAGAGAAUAAACUCCUGUUGUUUGAA